rnacentral:rRNA from 1 species
CAGCACCUCAAGUGGUCAGGAUGAUUAUUGGGCCUAAAGCAUCCGUAGCCUGCUUUGUAAGUUUUCGGUUAAAUCCAUACGCUCAACGUAUGGGCUGCCGGGAAUACUGCAAAGCUAGGGAGUGGGAGAGGUAGACGGUACUCGGUAGGAAGGGGUAAAAUCCUUUGAUCUAUUGAUGACCACCUGUGGCGAAGGCGGUCUACCAGAACACGUCCGACGGUGAGGGAUGAAAGCUGGGGGAGCAAACCGGAUUAGAUACCCGCGUAGUCC